CAGCUACCUCAAAGAUUACAAGUGUCACAAGAAGGUUAGAAGAGACGACAAUACUUUUUAUUCUGGUUUCUUCGACCACCCAAAGCUGGAUACCAAGGAAUACGAUCGCCUUAAGAAUGAUAGUAGAGACAAUUAUCAAUCUUUGAAAGAAAGCAAAAUUGGAUCGACCCCCAAUUCAGAGAAUAAAAUGAAGAAUUGGGGUUCGAUUAGUCCACCAUCCCCCACUACACCCGCCUCUGUUAGAACUAUAAUACCUUUAUUUCUAUUGCGCUCAUUAACUUGAGCACUCAGACAGUGUAAAACACUCAGUGUGUAACACUCAUCUACCCCUCCCCUCAGCCGCCCCUGUUAAACAGUUUUCGUAACUCUUGACAGAAGACAAACUACCCUGAGGUACAAACAUCUUUUAAUACAUUUCAGUACUGCAAUAGUACAGUAUUACAAAAUAUAUUUUUAAUAAUAUACUACAAUAGUAAAUAUCACAAUAUUGUUCUUACACUCUCAUAAUACAGUAAUAUUACUUUAAUUUAAAACAGUUUUUUUUUUUGCCCUCCGUCCUCCCCCACGACACCCACCACUAGCCUACACAUUUUUUAUAUCUUUCCAAGGGUUGUCUACUUUGUGGUACAAACAUUUCUUUCAAACGCAUGCGUUUAAUGUAUUCAAACGUAUGUCUUAAUACACAUGCGUAUUCUAAGAUGUUGCAGCAAGGUAGACAGCUUUUACAGAUGCUUAAAAACUGCCUGUAGUGGACGGUGGAAGACGAUGGCGGAGUGACCCCGAUUCUUGCGUUCUGUCCAAGGUUCAUAUUUUCCUCAGGUCUCUUGCUUUAUUUCUGGACAAUCGACCCCGUUCUGUCCAAGGUUGAUAAUUCGUCUCUCGAUUCUUGCUUUACUUGUCAACCUCAAGUAAGAACAUCAAGAAAUUAUUAAGUUUGCGAGAGAAAAUUAAAAUUACAAAUUCGAAUCAGA